GUUGGGACUAGCACUCCUCUGUGCUCACUCCUGUCCUAUCAGACUGCAGCAUGAAAACAGAGAGGAGGGGGUUACAGAGCAGCCUGCAGUGAUUGGAUGAAGAGACACAGCACAGCAGACUCAGGGAGGAAGUGAAUGCAUGGCACUGGGGUAACUUGGCAACGUCUUGGCCGUAGGAGCUGGCAAUCUAAGAGGUGGGACGGUAAGGGACGAUGGAAUUAUGAAAAAAAAUGAAAUGGUUAAAAGAUAUUUUUGUCUGGAUGAUGUCAGUACUACACCAGCAAGAUCACACUGCUGUUUGCUCAAUCCCGCCCCUACCCAGUCCUACCACCCAAUCAUGUUUGCUGGUAGAUGUGCCGACUAUGAUGGGACAGCCCAGGACACACAGGGAACCUUUUAUCAGGGGGAAAUUCUAAAAUCUGUCAGGUGAAUAUUCAGGAUAUUGUCGUGUGUGUGUGCAGCACUGUUUUUGGCCAUUAUCUAACUUGUAUAUGUUAUUUUUUAGCAGAUUUCUGCUCUAAAGGCUUAAUCUAUAAUUUGCAGUUCUCCCAGAGCUGGUGGGCAGAGCUCCCUCUUCCCCCUCUAUAGACUUGUAUUGCUUGUCUUGCAGACACAGGACAAAGCUGAGCUGAUUUUCAGAGUAGA